rnacentral:lncRNA from 11 species
GAGCUGGAGAAUCACUCACUCAGUCCUGCUUCACCAUGAAGUCCUCAGGUGUCCUCCUCUUUGCGCUCCUGUCCUUCUGUGCCUUGAUGCCUGAUGCCUCUGGGAAAGAGUGAACUUAAAGGAGGCCUGGAUCCAUGGAUAGCAACCACCAGAGAAGUCUGGUUGGAGGUCUUCUGCCCAUCUCUCCUGCUCCAUGAAAGCACCCCUCAUUCUUUUGAGAAUAAAUGCAACAAUCCCCUGAAC